AAUAGUGUGCCUGAUUAAAGGGUUACCUUGAUAGGGUAGAUAAUGUAGAAUCCUACCACUAUUA
rnacentral:tRNA from 1 species